GUAUCAGCCAAAUUAGCAAGAACUCAUCUGACCAAAAGGAGAUUAGAAGAUACCUUCUCCAGUUUAGGAGCUUCAGUGGAUGCUUCAUUGGUCCCCGGAUAGGCCACUGAAACCUGGAGUCAUUACUGAUACAGUUAUCAGGAUUACACCCUCAGAGCCACGAUGGUUUCAGGGAUACUAGAACCUGAAAAUAACAAAAAAAAAAAAAAUUUCCAACUCAAAUCUAGACAAUAAAACUAACAUAUAAACUGGAAUAAAACGCAGGAAAUGCCGAUUUUAAUACCUGGUAUGAGGCUGACCAUUAAGGCAUCCAUCAAAAAAGUUUGGAAUGUAUGAAUGAAUGACUGCAUGAAAUUGGCAGGAUUUCAUUCAUUUCAAAAGCUCCAAAUUCAGGAACCACACUGAGAUAUCAGGACGCCACAGCUGAAACUAAAACUCAUGAAGGGUAAAUGCAACAUAACUGCACGUCUCCACGCGUUAGCUGCUGCGAAAAUUUCAAAACAUACAUCUAACAUACUCUUUCUUCAAGUAAUUGCCGCAAGUGCGGACGGAGCCAGAGAACUAGGAGACUGAAAACAGGCCCUGCUCACCCAUAAGCCUUUGCAUUAUAAGUGGACAUGAUCUGAGUGAGUCACCGGGAAUGAGAAGGAGACAGUCACCCCAGGCCAGGCAGGACGCGGCCAGAAUCUCCUGCUCUGCCCCCAACUAGGGAACCGGUCGAAGGAGAGUGGGACGACUGCAACCUGCUGCAGCUAAGUAUGCAAGGAUCGCGCCGACCGGCUUCCGAGUCGAGAUCCCACUAAGUCCCACCGCAGUCACCACAGCCAGCCCUGCCCAGGGGCUCCCACGUGAGAAGGCUGUAACAGACAGACAGCAGCCACGAUGAAACACGCUGAAAAGAGCCAGCAGAAAAAAACGAGGAGAGACUGGUAUGACGGAGUGGAAUUCCGGUUGUGGAUGACAGAAUGGAAAUUUUACGCAAGAUGAAAGAGUUAAGACAAAUUACUCUAAAAAUAUCUGACUUAGUUGUUUCUAAACCCUGGGGCACCCUUAGGAAAAAAUAAAAAUAAAAAAACAAGUGCCUGGGCCUCAUCACUUGGUUGAAAAAGGUCUGCUGCCAGAUCUUGACAUUGAUAUUUUUCUAAGUUUCCAAAGUCAUUUUAAUGUGUAGACAAGAAGUUCUGUUUCUCAUUUGUAGGAAGAAUUUGGUUCCCCAUCACCUCAGAAAAGUAAUUAUGUAUCACAGACCGUUAACAGUUUUCCCAAUAACCAACUAUGCAUUCACCCUCUAAGAAUUUAUCUAAAUUAAUCUUGGGGCCAGGUGGGGGGGCUCACACCUGUAAUCCCAGCACUUUGGGAGGCCGAGGAGGGCGGAGUUCAAGACCAGCCUAGGCAACGUGGUGAAACCCCAUCUCUACUAAAAAAAACAUACAAAAAUUAGCCCGGCGUGGGGUUGCGCGCCUGCAGUCACGGCUACUCUACUCAGGAGGCUGAGGCAGGAGAAUCGCUUGAACCCGGGAGGCGGAGGUUGCAGUGAGCCGAGGUGGCGCCACUGCACUCCAGCCUCUGAUGGAGUGAGACUGUCACAAUCAAUCAUUCAAUCAAUCAAUAUUGAACCUACUUAAAGUUAUUCAACCUCUGUUAUCCUUUGCUUCAAAGGAGUUU
rnacentral:lncRNA from 10 species